rnacentral:rRNA from 1 species
CUGACGCAGCAACGCCGCGUGAGUGAUGAAGGCCUUCGGGUCGUAAAGCUCUGUCAAGUGGGAAGAACCCUUGUAUCCGGAUAAUGGAUGCAAGCUGACGGUACCACUGAAGGAAGCACCGGCUAACUCCGUGCCAGCAGCCGCGGUAAUACGGAGGGUGCAAGCGUUAUUCGGAAUUACUGGGCGUAAAGGGCGCGCAGGCGGCCAUGUAAGUCAGUUGUGAAAGCCCGGGGCUCAACCCCGGAAGUGCGACUGAAACUGUGUGGCUUGAGUAUGGUAGAGGGAAGUGGAAUUCCUGGUGUAGCGGUGAAAUGCGUACAUAUC